GUAGGUGGCAAGCGUCGUCCGGAAUUAUUGGGCGUAAAGCGCGCGCAGGCGGUCCUUCAAGUCUGAUGUGAAAGCCCACGGGCUCAACCGUGGAGGGUCAUUGGAAACUGGGGGACUUGAGUACAGAAGAGGAAAGCGGAAUUCCAAGUGUAGCGGUGAAAUGCGUAGAGAUUUGGAGGAACACCAGUGGCGAAGGCGGCUUUCUGGUCUGUAACUGACGCUGAGGCGCGAAAGCGUGGGGAGCAAACAGGAUUAGAUACCCUGGUAGUCCACGCCGUAAACGAUGAGUGCUAAGUGUUAGGGGGUUUCCGCCCCUUAGUGCUGCAGCUAACGCAUUAAGCACUCCGCCUGGGGAGUACGGCCGCAAAGGCUG
rnacentral:rRNA from 1 species